AUGGCUGUCGUCAGCUUGUGUCGUGAGAUGUUGGGUUAAGUCCCGCAACGAGCGCAACCCUUGUCCUGUGUUACCAUGUCGAAAGACGGAACUCGCAGGAGACCGCCAGCGAUAAGCUGGAGGAAGGUGGGGAUGACGUCAAGUCCUCAUGGCCUUUAUGUCCAGGGCUACACACGUGCUACAAUGGGCGGUACAAAGCGCUGCUAAACCGCAAGGUGGAGCCAAUCGCAAAAAGCCGCUCUCAGUUCGGAUUGCAGGCUGCAACUCGCCUGCAUGAAGCUGGAAUCGCUAGUAAUGCUAUAUCAGAACGAUAGCGUGAAUACGUUCCCGGGCCUUGUACACACCGCCCGUCACAUCACGAAAGUGGAUUGUACUAGAAGUCUGCACGCUAACCCGCAAGGGAGGCAGCGGCCCAAGGUAUGAUUCAUGAUUGGGGUGAAGUCGUAACAAGGUAGCCGUAGGAGAACCUGCGGCUGGAUCACCUCCUUUCUAAGAGAACGUGGGUGGAGUCGUCGAUAAGUACACGACGGCAGUCGUUCCACUCCAAUCAAUCAUUAGUUGUCAGCUUCGGCUGAUCGCGAAAUGAUUGACUCGCACGGAUCUCUGGACUCGGAGUUUGAAGUGAAUAUAGGCAAGAAGCUGGUCUUCGAGCCUGUGCGUCCAAUCGGCCUCGAUUGAUUUUCUUACCAGGGGCUGUAGCUCAGCUGGGAGAGCGCCUGAUUUGCAUUCAGGAGGUCGCCGGUUCGAUCCCGACCAGCUCCACCAGUUCUAAAGCUGGACGGGCCUGUAGCUCAGUUGGCUAGAGCGCACCCCUGAUAAGGGUGAGGUCGGUAGUUCGAUUCUACCCAGGCCCACCAAAAAAUUCAGAAGUCAGUUAACACCGCUCGCGUAGUGGAGCCGAGUGAUGUUCGCUGACAGCUGAAGCGUAAUUGCGGAUAGCUGUUUGUUCUUUGACAAUUGAAUAUUGACGGGCAUUUACUACAAGUGAAUGCAAGAAGCGCAGAAAGAAUGUACAUCUGUGUUUAGAAUAGAUUUUAUGGUCAAGCUACUAAGGGCGUGUGUGUGGAUGCCUUGGCGCAAAUAGGCGAUGAAGGACGUGGUCAGCUGCGAUAAGCUUCGGGAAGCUGCUAACAAGCUAUGAUCCGGAGAUGUCCGAAUGGGGAAACCCGG
rnacentral:sRNA from 1 species